ensembl:lncRNA
GGACCACAUCCCACAGUCUCCUGUCCUCCCGCCGGCUCUGGGUAGCCUCACCUCUCCUGAUUUUUUUUUUUUAAAUUCUUUAAUUUUGCGGAGGCCCGGGGGGACCCCAACGCUCUCUGUGCUCCGGGUCCUUUCUGCGUCCCCAACUAGGCUGCUGUGGCUUCCACGAGGUCCCCAUGUCCAUUUCCGAGGCUGGCCUGCUGCUCCCUGCACAUCUCCUCCAGCUGCAGGGACAAGGAAGGGGGGGGAGGGGGGGAGAAGAAAGCCCAGCCCGGGAUCUCGCCAGCGUGGAGUUUCUCCAUGCCAAUGCUCCCCUAAGCCCAACACAAACGCCAUGGCCAAAACGCAUCACCCCAGAGCCUUCUGUCUUCAUUGCAGAAAAAGAAAAUUUAAAAAGGGGGAAAAUGCAAAGAGAAUACAAAGAGAGGGUGGGUAGGAGAUGGGGCGCGCUGGAUUUCCCCCCUCCUUUCUUGACCAAGAGGCAAAAUAAAAUCAAAAAAGAAUCACCAAGGCGAGGGGGGGGGCAAGAUUCCUUCGGUCUUUAGAAGCUUAGCUUGGCUUCUUUUCUUGCUGGGGGUGCAACCAAGUCCGGAAGCUCGUUGGAAGGGGAGGGGGAGUCUCUUCAAGCAAAAUUGGGGAGGAACUCGAUGUAGCUUUUUUAGCCACCACCAACAUCAAUAACAACAAAAAAGGUUCGCCCCUGUCUACUCUCCGCCUCCUCGAGUCCCCAGCCCUGAGAGUGGGGGAUGGGAGCACGGGUCCACUACGCCCCCGCGCUCCUUCUCCAACGGCGGGACAUGGUUCAGGCCAGCCCUAUGCACUUUUUUUCCUUCCUUUUCUUUUCUCCUUUCUCCUUCCACUCUCCAUCUAUUCUUUUUUCCUCUUUUUUUUCCUGCUUCUCUUCUUCUUUUUUUUUUUUAAUUUUUGUUUUGUUUUGUUUUUUGUCUUCCUCUCUCCUCUCCUGCCUCUUUGGCCCUCCUUCUCCCCGGCCCGCGCUCCCUUCAGUAGGUGAAGACCAGGUUAGAGAUGCUGGACUCCAGCCAAUCUCCCGAGAUCAUCUCGCUCACCUCGGGCGUGCAAUAGUCCGGGAACUCGAAGUGGGAGCCUGAGCCGGGUUCGAAGUUAAAAUCCAGGUCCCGAUCAAGCGCGGAUGAGGAGCUGAAACUGCCCAGGGACAUGCUCUCAAAGUUUGAGCUGGGGUUCAGGUCGAGCAGGUCAUCUUCGAACUCAUCAUCGGACGACGAAGAGCCCGAGGAAGAGGAGGAGGAUGAGGAGAGCGACGAGGACGCGUGCGAGGGCGCGCUGGACGGGGCGGGCGAGGCUGCACGUAGGCUGGCGUAGCCGCGGUGGUCAGCGGGCGAUCGGCUGGCGGCGGGCGAUGAUGCUGCGCUGCUACGGCCGCUCAGACUCCGGCCAUCGGGCGAGCAUCCCGGGCCCCCAUCUUCGUAUAACCCCAGUGGAUCGCUGGGGUCGGCGCUCGCUCCCAGGCCCCCGACCGGGGAUGCCGAAGCGCCCAGGCUUCCGAACAGGUUUGGCUGUGGCCGCCGAUCCCGCGCCCGUGUUGCCCGACUUCACCUUCUUUCGCGCCGGUACUUGUAGUCAGGGUAGUCAGCCAUGUGCUUGAGGCGCAGCCGCUCCGCCUCCUGGAUGAACGGGAUCUUGUCGCUGUCCUUGAGCAGCUUCCAGCGUUUGCCCAGCCGCUUGGAGAUCUCGGCGUUGUGCAUGUCGGGCGACUGCUCCAUGAUCUUGCGCCGCUCGAUCUGCGACCACACCAUAAAGGCGUUCAUGGGCC